rnacentral:lncRNA from 10 species
ACCUCUGCCCUCCAGGUUCAAAGGAUUUUCCUGCCUCAGCCUCCUGAGUAGCUGGAAUUACGGGUUCAGAUCCAAAUGGUAUGCUAGCAUUCUCUUCCUAGCAGUCCACUGUCAAGACUUCACUGUUAGAAGAAGAAUCACACCAGAAUUAAGGUCAAAUGGAUUAUCUUAUUCUUAAUUGCUGAAAAUCACACCUCAUUGAAAUUUGCUUCAUAACUGAACCAUGAAUUUUUCAUCAAACAUACUUUUGUGUUUCUCCUCCUGGCAUUCUUUAUGAGGAACUUCUUUUUGGAGCUCACUGACUUCCUGUUCUAAUUUGGUCCAGUUAUUUUCUAGAAUUGCUACAUGACUGUCAUCCUGGGACAUCCUUCUGUUGGAAUCUGGGAGAGCUUACAACUUUUCAUAUCCUCUCUUCUUCUUUGUGUUUUUCACCCUGAAGUGUACAAAGUCAAAUGAAUUUCCUAGACUUGAGAAGGCACAGACACAAGUGGCGGGACGUCAAGAGAGCUGAAGAACACAGCAACAGACACCAGCAGACAACAUCAGGCCAUCGAUGGCUGCAUGAUGUGGAAUUUGGCUGGGGGCAGUUGGAGGAGAGUCUGGCUAUUGGGCGACCUGACUCCAGGGG